GAGCCACAUCUCUCAGAGGCAGCGGGGAGGGUCGGGAAGGAAGUCUGUAGAACCGGGAUCAAGCAGGGCCUGGCUUCCGGUCUCAGACCCCAAGGGGCCUCUGGCGCUGAGCGUGUUCCUGUUUUACCCAGCUCGUUGGUGCAGAGCCACGAAUAAAGGGCAAAGAGGACAUCAGAGAAGCCUAUGCCACAGGGGGACACGGAGCCGGGGAAUCCUAACACUGGACGGUUUCCAUUCAGCGCCCCUCUGACCCAGGGACAGUUACCACCAAUCCCUUCCCUCGGUCUACACAUCUAUGAAAUGCAACCACUUAAGCCUCAUUUUCCUAAAGCGCAAAGGAAACCUGGACUGGCAUCGACCCACACCCCCUUCCUAAAGAGAACUCUGCCUCCCUCCCUGCGGCCCCAGCUGAACCCUGGACGGUGGCAGCCGUUUGUACCAGGUGGCAGGACCCCCGGCCAGGGCAGACGAGACCAGGAACGGAUAGUCGAUGGCAUCGGAUUCGGCCCCGACGGGCUCCGUGUGUGGUCUGAUGGCUGACAGCCGUGUGGGUCCACAACCUCCGCUGAAACUUUGGGGCCGGACGUAUUUCGAAAUUCAGAAUUUUCCCGACUUGAGAGAAACAGAGCCGUGGAGGUGCUGAAAAUCGUCUAACACCUUUGGUGGCAUCCGGGGCCACGUUCAGGGCCAAAUCCCUUAAAACGUGCAUGUUACUCUUCAUGUUUGGGGUGAGGGAAGCGAGGACCCCAAAUAUGCAGCUUCAGGCCAGUCAGGUUUGGCCCCCAGGGCAUUUGUAUAAGCUUAGUCUCUUUCUUAAAGCGCAGUUUCUGAGUUUUGGGGUUUCAGGAUCACUGGGGAGAUAACGAUGGAGCUGAUUUGUCCGGAGGUGCUGAGGGCCACUUUGCAUACCGUGUGUGAAUCUACUCCCGGCCCCCACGGACACAGCCCUAAAAUUACCUGAGGGGUGAGCUCUAUCUCGCAGAGGAAUGAACUGAGGGUGCCGGGAGGGAAAGUGACCUUGGCCAAGGGCACAGAUCUGGAGCAGUGGCGCUGGGGAUUUGAUCCCAUGUCCGUCUGGUGCCUUUGCUAAUGCCACUAUGGAGAAGACACCUGCCCUUGCUAUUAUUACCACAAUCAACAACAAAGACUGGCCGAGCUCUAACUGUGCCAGGCAGGCGCUCUGCCAAGCCAGGGAGGUGGAUUAUCUCGUGUUCAUCGACUGCCAUCUAGUUAAAAAUAAGCCACAUCGUCUGCCUCUGCCUGGGCCACACUGGUUUCCCAGCUGCCACAUUCUCCGCCCCCCGCCCCAUGCAGAGCUCCAAGGACGGCGGGGCUGACCAGUGCUGCAGGGGCGGCCAGCGAGGCCGGGCGCAGGGCUGCAUCCGCAUCAGCUUGUUGCGCGGCGGCCAGCGCCCUCCCAGCUUCGGGCAGCACCUCUGCCGCAGCCGUGCCCAGCGCCUUCUGGGCGGCCUGGACCUCCUGGUACCUGAGAGGAGACAGCAAAGGUGGCUCACAGGGCAGGGCACGGGGCUCUCCUUCCCCGUGGAUGUCCCCCCCCCCCCAACCGGAGCCCUCUGGCAACCUCCCAGGCAGACCUGCCCUCUGCAGGGUUGGCACCCAGCAGCUGGCCCCGAGACUGGCCGCUAACUUGGCCGCUAACUCCGCAGCUUUCGAAUGAAUGGAAAAGGCAGCAGAGGCACCACAUUGUUUCUUCACUCAUUCAAUUCAAACGCUCUCUUCUGAAGGGGCUUGGGCUUGGUUUCCACUCGAGAAUCAUAUGUUUUGCAAAUAUUUGGAGCCUCUGGCUGCAUCACGAAGAGGAAAAUGCCUAGUGUUGGAGAAGGGACAGCAGCCCAGGCCUCCGCCUUGGCUCGGCUGUGCCCUGGGGUGACCUUGGGUGUGUGGCUCUCCAGAUAAAUGGAUAGCCCUGGGCUCUGAAGACCCUUAGCUUCAAGGUGCUGUAGUUAACCACCUAGAACAGGUUUCCUGUCCCCUCCGGCUACCCACACCCUCCCCUCUCCGCCCAGCUCCACAGUGAGCACAGCUGGGACACAGACCCCCCCCCCUGCUGUCUCUCAUCCCUUCCCCACUUCUCAGAGAGCCUGUGCUCCCACCCCUGCCCAGGGAGUGGGUCAUGUGACCUCACCCACCCUACCCCCUGCCAGUGGGCUCAGGGCUGGCCACCUGAUCUGAGCUGGGCUAAUCACAUUCUCUCAUCUAAGAAGUCAACUCGGGACUUAGUGAGGCCUUGCUGGGUCUCUCUUGACCCUUUGACUGAGGAGGAUAUAAGAGGGUCACCCAGAGGAGAGAAGCAGAGGCCAAGAAGGAAGCUGGUGCCUGAAAGCUGGAGCUGCCUGGGGGGUCUGGGGGACGCUGCAGGGGCAAGAAAGAGAGAGGUGCUGCUCUGGACCCUCCUGGUUCAAGUUCUCGCCCCUUCUCUCCAGAGGCUGAGCUUAACCCCCAGGCAUAAAUGUGUUCUUGUAAGGUACCACCCAGACAUCCCCACCCAUCCACCCAGAGGGCGUCAGGACUUGGGACGGAAGCCAAUUCUGGAACCAGCAGCCUCCAGCCAGGCCCCGUCAGCUGCAGGAGGCCAACUCAAGCUUCCACCCACACCCGGGAGGCCUCACCUGUCCUCCAGUUCCUGCUGGGCCUCCAGGGCCACUCUGCCCUCCACCAGACUCCAGAGAAGCGCAUAACUGGUGUUGGAGGCGACCAGGGCCCUCCGCGCAGUGGCCUCAAUCUUGGCAGUGGUGUCCCUGUGGCUGUAUGGAAAUGCCCAUUUGACUGUCACCAGGAGCCCAUGCAGAAGGGGGCCUGCGCCCAAAUCCACACCUCCCAGCAUGUGGGACUCCCAUCAUCCCAAAGUCCAGCCCCAAAGGCCAAGUUCUUCUUCUCCCUCUGCUGGACGCACAACAAAGGCUGAUGGGAAGGGACCCACCCAUGCCCCCGUGCCCGUUACAUUGAGUUCAUGCCUGUUGUCCUGGCAUAAUGAUCAUUAGGGCCUCUUAUCACACAAAAAAUCUGAGUUUGGACAAUAACGAUAUGGUCACCCUCAUAAAGACAUCACAGAAGAGAGUGGUCAGGACGGCCUGGGUUUGAAUCCAGGCAGAGGGGCACCUGUGCAGUUGAUCCUGAUCUGGGAACCCGCCCCUCCGCCCCCAAGAAGGACUGGGCUCCCUUCCAGACUGUGUGGGCAAGACCUCACCAGGCUCCCAGGGCCUGGAGCCUCACCUCCUGGCAAGGGCACGGGCCUCGGUGGCCAGGUGGCUCCAGGUGGUGGGCUGGCUGGACCCUUCCUGAGGAAUCACCUUUAGAGAAGAAAUGGAGAGGGGAGGAAGCUGAUGGCCAUCCUUGAAGAGCAAGGGCCCCAUUUGGCUAAAUUCCUGGGCAGAACUAAAUCGUGCCAGUCAUUUUAUAUAUGCUCAAAGGUAGUCUCAAAGUCAGCACCCGGUGAGCAGAUCCCAGAACGUAGAAACAGCAGUAAUGACACCCACCAUUCAUUCGAUGGACAUUCACUCUCCCCCUGGAACAUGCCUUGUUGUAUGCAGACAUUAUCCCAGUAAUCAGCAGAAGGGGCGCUGUGUGACCCCCCCCCCCAUUCCACAGAUGAAACGGAGACUCUCCAAAGAGGCACAGCCCAGCCACUAGGUCACCAGGUGGGCCCAGGACGUCGUACCAGAGAUCUGAGGACAAGGGCCGCCUGCAGAAUCUCCUCCUCUGAAGACUCCAGCACUGCAUCUAGGUCCGCCAGCUGGAUGCAGGUCUUCUCUGUUCCGGCCCGGGCACAGUGGACACUCCUGCUCAGCGUACGCAGCUGCUCCCGGGCAGCCUUCACAGCACCUUCGAGGCCUGUCACCUGCUCCAGGAAGGCUUCCCGGGCUCCUGCAUGAAGCCCGGGUAGAGUCCAGGGUCACAGAGCAGUUGAUGCUUUACAACAAAGCACCCACCUUCGGGGGCCCCCAUCUGUGCCUGGACUCUGCCUGGGCACAGGUUAGCUCUGUCACCAGACUUGAGCACCAACCACCACCAGUCAGCUCCAAGGGAAGAGCCUUGUCAUUUUACAAAUGCCAAGACUGAGGCCCCGAGAAGGCAAAUCACGACCCAAGGCUUCCCACGUAGGAAGUCCGCCACAGAUGAGGGACUGGAAGGAACUCAGGUCUGCUAGAGCCACAACAAGCAAUUCCUGAAUCUGAGACAGCAGAAAUGCCCCCACCUUGAGUCAGCUCUGUGAUCUGCAGUGUGGGUCGGUAUGGUCGUUUUAACACACAGCAUCUGGAAGCUCUCUGUUCUGAUCACUAGUCUUGCUAACAAGUGCUCAGCUUACCUAUGCCUGACUGCUAAAGGAGCAUAAAUGCUUAUGAACAUGAAAUUA